GUGGGGGACAACGUUUCGAAAGGAACGCUAAUACCGCAUACGUCCUACGGGAGAAAGCAGGGGACCUUCGGGCCUUGCGCUAUCAGAUGAGCCUAGGUCGGAUUAGCUAGUUGGUGGGGUAAUGGCUCACCAAGGCGACGAUCCGUAACUGGUCUGAGAGGAUGAUCAGUCACACUGGAACUGAGACACGGUCCAAACUCAUACGGGAGGCAGCAGUGGGGAAUAUUGGACAAUGGGCGAAAGCCUGAUCCAGCCAUGCCGCGUGUGUGAAGAAGGUCUUCGGAUUGUAAAGCACUUUAAGUUGGGAGGAAGGGCAGUAAGUUAAUACCUUGCUGUUUUGACGUUACCGACAGAAUAAGCACCGGCUAACUCUGUGCCAGCAGCCGCGGUAAUACAGAGGGUGCAAGCGUUAAUCGGAAUUACUGGGCGUAAAGCGCGCGUAGGUGGUUUGUUAAGUUGGAUGUGAAAGCCCCCGGGCUCAACCUGGGAACUGCAUCCAAAACUGGCAAGCUAGAGUACGGUAGAGGGUGGUGGAAUUUCC
rnacentral:rRNA from 2 species